rnacentral:rRNA from 1 species
GACGAACGCUGGCGGCGUGCUUAACACAUGCAAGUCGAACGAUGAAGCCCUUCGGGGUGGAUUAGUGGCGAACGGGUGAGUAACACGUGGGCAAUCUGCCCUUCACUCUGGGACAAGCCCUGGAAACGGGGUCUAAUACCGGAUAACACUCUGUCCCGCAUGGGACGGGGUUGAAAGCUCCGGCGGUGAAGGAUGAGCCCGCGGCCUAUCAGCUUGUUGGUGGGGUGAUGGCCUACCAAGGCGACGACGGGUAGCCGGCCUGAGAGGGCGACCGGCCACACUGGGACUGAGACACGGCCCAGACUCCUACGGGAGGCAGCAGUGGGGAAUAUUGCACAAUGGGCGAAAGCCUGAUGCAGCGACGCCGCGUGAGGGAUGACGGCCUUCGGGUUGUAAACCUCUUUCAGCAGGGAAGAAGCGAGAGUGACGGUACCUGCAGAAGAAGCGCCGGCUAACUACGUGCCAGCAGCCGCGGUAAUACGUAGGGCGCAAGCGUUGUCCGGAAUUAUUGGGCGUAAAGAGCUCGUAGGCGGCUUGUUGCGUCGGUUGUGAAAGCCCGGGGCUUAACCCCGGGUCUGCAGUCGAUACGGGCAGGCUAGAGUGUGGUAGGGGAGAUCGGAAUUCCUGGUGUAGCGGUGAAAUGCGCAGAUAUCAGGAGGAACACCGGUGGCGAAGGCGGAUCUCUGGGCCAUAACUGACGCUGAGGAGCGAAAGCGU